rnacentral:rRNA from 1 species
AGUGAACGCUGGCGGCAGGCCUAACACAUGCAAGUCGAACGGAAGCACAGUAAGAGCUUGCUCUUACGGGUGGCGAGUGGCGGACGGGUGAGGAAUACAUCGGAUUCCACUUUUUCGUGGGGGAUAACGUAGAGAAACUUACGCUAAUACCGCAUACGACCUACGGGUGAAAGCAAGGGUUCUUCGGACCUUUCGCGAUUGAAAGAGCCGAUCUCGGAUUAGCUAGUUGGCGGGGUAAAGGCACACCAAGGCGACGAUCCGUAGCUGGUCUGAGAGGAUGAUCAGCCACACUGGAACUGAGACACGGUCCAGACUCCUACGGGAGGCAGCAGUGGGGAAUCUUGGACAAUGGGCGAAAGCCUGAUCCAGCCAUACCGCGUGGGUGAAGAAGGCCUUCGGGUUGUAAAGCCCUUUUGUUGGGAAAGAAGAACAGCAGGUUAAUACCCGGCUGUUCUGACGGUACCCAAAGAAUAAGCACCGGCUAACUUCGUG